GUGGUCAAUUUUAUUUAUUUAGUUAGUUAGUUAGUUUUUGAGCUGGAGUCUCAAUCUGUCGCCCAGUCUGAAAAAAAAGUACAUAACCUAAAUAGAAGACUAUUAAACUACUAUUUGUACCUUUCUGGAACUAAAAACCUGCUCUUUAAAAUAAAGUCAAAUUAUGGAGAGUGCACUUAUUAAGGGAGUGGUUACAUGAUUUUGUUACCAAAAACAGCAUGUGUCACCAAUUAAAGAAAAACAACUCAUAUCUAUACAUUUAAAAUUGGUAGAUGUUUCUAACCAGCUUAAAAAAUCUUCCAAAUUAAUAUAAUCACUGGGUUUUGAAUGUGCCCUUUAAAAAUACUGUUAACAACUUCUAAUAGGUUUAUAGAACUAUAAUAUCAUUGGGGAGGAUGAAAAUUUCAGCAACAGUCCUUUUUAUAUUUAGAAAAUAGGAUUAAAACUUUUUUCUUUUUUUGAGAUGGAGUUUCGCUCUUAUUGCCCCGGCUGGAAUGCAGUGGCGCGACCGCGGCUCACCACAACCUCCGCCUCCCAGGUUCAAGUGAUUCUCCUGCCUCAGCCUCCUGAGAAGCUAGGAUUACCGGCAUGUACCACCACACCCGGCUCAUUUUGUAUUUUUAGUAAAGACGGAGUUUCUCCAUGUUGGUCAGGCUGGUCUCAAACUCCCAACCUCAGGUGAUCUGCCCGCCUUGGCCUCCCAAAGUGCUGGGAUUACAAGCAUGAGCCACCACACCUGGCCAGGAUUGAAAAAAUUUUUAUUUUAUCCUAUGGCAUACAUCUUCCAUUUGGAUCUG
rnacentral:lncRNA from 10 species